rnacentral:rRNA from 1 species
UACGUAGGUGGCAAGCGUUGUCCGGAUUUACUGGGCGUAAAGAGCGCGCAGGCGGCUCGGUAAGUCUGCUGUGAAAUCUCCCGGCUUAACUGGGAGGGGUCAGCAGAUACUGUCGGGCUUGAGGCAGGUAGAGGAAGGUGGAAUUCCCGGUGUAGUGGUGAAAUUCGUAGAUAUUCGGAAGAACACCAGUGGCGAAGGCGGCUCACUGGCCCGGUACUGACGCUCAGGUGCGAAAGCGUGGGGAGCAAACAGG